GGCCAUAGCUCAAUGGUAGAGCAUCUACUUUGCACUCCAGAAGCCAUGGGUUCAAUCCCUGCUGGCAUCU